ACUGAUUUUAUUGAGGGACUUCCUAAGUUAAAGGUAAGGGAGUCAUAUUAGUAGCUAUAGAUAGGUAGACUAAAAAACUUUCCCACUUUAUUAUUCUGUCUCAUUUUUUUUUUAUUUUUCAAGGUAUUUUCAUAGUCGGCAGCGGUGAGACUAAUUCUUUGUUUCUGUUGUCAGCGCACUAAGCGGUAGGGAACUGGCCACAAAGUUUUUUUCAUUCACCAGAGGUGGGGAUCGAACUCCCAACCUCUUGUUUAAAGGGCGAGGUGCUGAACCACCACACCAAUCCGGUUUCAAUUUAUAAUUCAUUUUCAUUUUUGUUUUUAGUUUCCCACGGUAUCCACACAUUUUUGUAGUCUCAUCUUUAUAUAAGCCUUACCAUUGCUCAAUUUUUUUGAAAAGAGUCCACACAUUUCAUGGCUUUCAUGAGGCUAUCGUAACUGCCAUGGAUAUGUUGUUCUUGAGUCAUUAUUUUUGGCAAAAAAUUUUCAAGUUAGUGGCCACUCAUCUUUAAUACAACAUAGCUUAUCACUCCCAUAAUAGACAAAUUGAGAGAUUAAAUAGAUGCAUUGAAACUUAUUUAAGUUGCAUAACUUCCAACAAUCUUUGGUUACCCAUGCCUGAGUGGUGGUGAUACAACACUAACUACCACACUAGUCUUAAAUGCUUUCCUUUUGAAGCUCUAUAUGGAUACAUCCCUCAUCACUUGUCUAUGGUGCCUAUAUUGGAGUUUGUAAAAUCUGUUGUUGAUAAGAUUUUUAUGCAAAGACAACAAUUCCAGCAGUUGCUCAAGAACAUAAUAGUAUAAAGGCUUAUGCAGACCAAUAUAAGAGUCAGAGAGAAUUUUCUGGUAGUGAUCAAGUUUUCCUGAAGCUACAAUUGUACAAGUAGAAUUCAUUGGACCUCAGCAAGUGUUAUUUAUAUAGCUCCAAAUACUACGACCCUCUAUGUUGUAUUGUAUAGGAUCAACCAAGUGGCUUAUAAGUUGGAUUUACCCAGCUCAUCAAUAUUUAGAGACAAUUUCUAAUUCAGUCGAUUGGCAUUCUUUAAAAACAGAUGAUCAAGAAAGGCAAUAUAGCAACUGUGGAAGUACUAGUUCAGACCUGAGGAUGCAACAAUGAGAAAACUAUGCAGAUCUAUUGACCAGGUUUUCUAAUUUCAAACAAAUCCUUGAGACGAAGAAGAAAUCAAAAAAGUCCAUCGAAACCUACAAGAUCAACAUCUUCAAAGUCUUGAAACAAGUUCAUCCAGUCGUCGAAAUUUCAAGCAAGGCUAUGGGUAUAAUUAAGAGCUAUGAUAUUUCGAGAAGUUUGAACACCGAUUCGCUGCUCUUACCUGUUUAUCACUCUGCUGAUCGAUUCUAAAGCCUCUGUUCUCAGAAACCUUCAGGGGGAAGUGAUUGGCAGCGGAGAAUGAGGAAAGUUCUAGCGACGGUAAAAAGAAGAACUUUUACCAAAUGUAUCACACGAAAGAACGAAGAAACUCAAUUUGACUCGAUUGUUCGCUUGAAAUUUGAAAGUUGAUUGGAGGCAUUGCUGAUUUUGUGAAUCUCAUUAAUUCACUAUGUAACUGAUUGUACGUGAUUUACUCCCCAAAAUAAAAGAGAAUUUGUU